rnacentral:tRNA from 1 species
GUAAAUAUAGUUUAACCNAAAACAUUAGAUUGUGAGUCUAACCAUAGAGGCCUACCACCUCUUAUUUACC